rnacentral:rRNA from 1 species
UUAGAGUUUGAUCCUGGCUCAAGACGAACGCUGGCGGCGCGCCUAACACAUGCAAGUCGAACGAGCGAGAGAGAGUUUACUUUUUCGAGCGAGUGGCGAACGGGUGAGUAACGCGUGAGGAACCUGCAUCAAAGAGGGGGGACAACAGUUGGAGACGACUGCUAAUACCGCAUAACCCCACGACCCGGCAUCGGGUAGAGGGAAAAGGAGCAAUCCGCUUUGAGAUGGCCUCGCGUCCGAUUAGCUAGUUGGUGAGGUAAUGGCCCACCAAGGCGACGAUCGGUAGCCGGACUGAGAGGUUGAACGGCCACAUUGGGACUGAGACACGGCCCACACUCCUACGGGAGGCAGCAGUGGGGAAUAUUGCACAAAUGGGGGAAACCCUGAUGCAGCGACGCCGCGUGGAGGAAGAAGGUCUUCGGAUUGUAAACUCCUGUUGUUGAGGAAGAUAAUGACGGUACUCAACAAGGAAGUGACGGCUAACUACGUGCCAGCAGCCGCGGUAAAACGUAGGUCACAAGCGUUGUCCGGAAUUACUGGGUGUAAAGGGAGCGCAGGCGGGAAGACAAGUUGGAAGUGAAAUCCAUGGGCUCAACCCAUGAACUGCUUUCAAAACUGUUUUUCUUGAGUAGUGCAGAGGUAGGCGGAAUUCCCGGUGUAGCGGUGGAAUGCGUAGAUAUCGGGAGGAACACCAGUGGCGAAGGCGGCCUACUGGGCACCAACUGACGCUGAGGCUCGAAAGUGUGGGUAGCAAACAGGAUUAGAUACCCUGGUAGUCCACACUGUAAACGAUGAUUACUAGGUGUUGGAGGAAUUGACCCCUUCAGUGCCGCAGUUAACACAAUAAGUAAUCCACCUGGGGAGUACGACCGCAAGGUUGGAACUCAAAGGAAUUGACGGGGGCCCGCACAAGCAGUGGAGUAUGUGGUUUAAUUUGACGCAACGCGAAGAACCUUACCAAGUCUUGACAUCCUGCGACGGUGCUGGAAACAGUGCUUUCCUUCGGGACGCAGAGACAGGUGGUGCAUGGUUGUCGUCAGCUCGUGUCGUGAGAUGUUGGGUUAAGUCCUGCAACGAGCGCAACCCUUAUGGUCAGUUACUACGCAAGAGGACUCUGGCCAGACUGCCGUUGACAAAACGGAGGAAGGUGGGGAUGACGUCAAAUCAUCAUGCCCUUUAUGACUUGGGCUACACACGUACUACAAUGGCGUUAAACAAAGAGAAGCAAGACCGCGAGGUGGAGCAAAACUCAGAAACAACGUCCCAGUUCGGACUGCAGGCUGCAACUCGCCUGCACGAAGUCGGAAUUGCUAGUAAUCGCGGAUCAGCAUGCCGCGGUGAAUACGUUCCCGGGCCUUGCAC